GCUCUGCUGAUCAUACCAGUUUCACUUCUUUGGUAUCGAAACGAAAGAAGUCCGACUUAUCGAUCCCCACCAAGGAUAAGAAAGAUAAGGACGGGGAACGAAUUGUGACUCUGCAGCAGCUUGUUUCGCCAUACGGAAAGACAGAUACAGCUUCUGUUCUCUAGGAAGCAAUGGAAUACAUACGGUUUCUUCACGAACAAGUUUUGAGUGCUCCGUAUCUUCAAACCGGGCCGAUAAAUAGCAUGCAAGUGAGCAUUAAACCGAACCAGGAUGUAGAGCAUUAUAGCCUGAGAAGCCAAGGACUAUGCCUCGUUCCAAUAUCGUAUACCGUCGGAGUUGCUUGUAGCAACGGUGCCGAUAUUUGGGCUCCCUUCAAGACCACAUCGCCAAAAUUCGAUAUGGCUAU